GACGGAGGUUCCAAGCGUUGUUCGGAUUGACUGGGCGUAAAGGGAGCGCAGGCGGUUGAGUAAGUCUAAAGUGGAAGCCUGGAGCUUAACUUCAGAAGUGCUUUAGAUACUGCUCGGCUUGAGUAUGCCAGAGGAAAGCGGAAUUCAGGGUGUAGCGGUGAAAUGCUUAGAUAUCCUGAGGAACACAGGUGGCGAAAGCGGCUUUCUGGGGCAUUACUGACGCUCAGGCUCGAAAGCGUGGGGAGCAAACAGG
rnacentral:rRNA from 1 species